GUCAAUCACCCCACGGAUAAAUCCGGGGCUUGAGAACAUCAAGCCCAGGUUGACCAGGCACAGCCACCGACGAGAAAUCGUCGACGGGGCUACGUUGGAAGCGAAUACAUAGGCACCUUGGAAUGCCCUCCCAGUUCCAAGCUCUGCGGUGGCCGGUUAAAAGACGUUCCGGGGUUUCAGCGUCGGUGCCGGUCACAUCAAACCUCUUCGCAACAUUGCCGAGGGAGACAUGAC
rfam:Geoalkalibacter subterraneus strain Red1 plasmid pGSTB1, complete sequence.